rnacentral:lncRNA from 1 species
AGAGAAGCCGGCACUCAGAUUGACAGGCAAAUAAGCCAGCUUGUGGAAGGGGCCUCUGGGUGGCAGCUCUGGGCUUUUGGGUGUUGGACAACCAUAGGCAAAACUGAAAUGGAACAGGGGCAGAAAAUAGCACACUUUUACUCUACGCAACUGUUGCUUUUUCAUGAUCUUCAGGAAUUUUACUGGGAUAAUUAUCCAAAUAAAUUGCAAGCAUUCUAUCCAAAUGGAGCUCUUUCUGAGAUGAAGAGAAUUCUCAAUGUCAAGAUUUGAACAAGAAGAGAAUGGAAUACACAAUAUGGACAUCCAUAAAAAUUCAUCAGAGAGCAUUUUACUACUGAGCUGCAAAGGGAAAAACUUAAAAUGGAUAUGAAAAGUGAAGAAAGUGAUCAUAGGAGAAAACCAUUUCAGAUGACAAGAGCACCUCAAAGGCAGCAGCCUCAAGGAGCAGCCAUGGCCCCAGACUUGUCGCACGGAUGCAGAAAACUUAAUGGAGGAGGCUGAGGUCAGAAUGGGAAGAGUUUUUAAAAAAUAAAAAGGGGAGCUAAUAUGUGAGGAACUGAUUGCUGUGCAUUAUUUUCCACUGAACAGACCUUCUUUUAACUUCUAAUCUCAAGCACAUAGCAGCUGUUGUUUUCAU